rnacentral:misc_RNA from 1 species
AUUUAAAAAACAAAGAUGGCCGCCAUGAGUGGGUCUAGCAAGAACGACGCUUUGUAUAUUUCACUUCUGGGCUUAGCAGAGAAUUUUAGAGUGUCUAAUCCACCUAAUAUAAGACUCUGCAUCCACUGCCUGCAGUCAAUCUUCAACAUUAAUCCGCCACCACUCAUCGUUUCCCGAACACACCUGCAAUUAGGAAAUAUUCUUUUGGCGCACACUAAAAACAAAGAAUUGGCCACCAGACAUUUGGAGCAAGCAUGGACAAUAUCAAUUGGAGUAUCCUUUCUUUAGGAAAAUACACACCAGAAAAUGGAUAAUAAUGUCUAAAGUGGUAGAUUACACCUGUCUGAACAUACCUUGUGUACAUGUGACCAGUACAUCAAAUAUCUCGAUCUUUUCUGAUUAAUAGCACCACUUCUCACUUGUGGGGAGUGGAGUAGACAAAAAAACUGCUAUCCAUGUUCCUAAAUUAAGUAAUACAGAGUAAAUGAUUGUAUCUGUUUUAGUACUAAUAAAUGUAAACUUUACUAAAGGCUUUAUGAGAUUUUUACACAAACUGGAAAAUAAAAAAUCCAGAAAUACUAGCAUUGUUACAAAGAAAAAUGGGUUUUUUUUAUCCAAAGUAUUGGUAGUUAGCAUGCCUUAAUGAAAUUCAGUUGCCCCCUUCAGAAGAGGUGGACUCAGUGAGGUUUGAAUCAGCGAGUGAACUGGCCACUGUGUAUGAAAAAGAUUUCCGCUUUGAAGAAGCAAAACCAGUCCUGCAGAAAGCAAUAGAAGUUUCUCAACAAUCAGCAUACUGGCAUUGCAGGCUCAUCUUCCAACUAGCACAAAUCUAUGCAAUCCAAAGAGAUCACACCUCAGCAUGUCAUUACCUUCAGGUGGGGGCGGAUUUUGCUGGAUCGGCUCAUUCCGAGUACACAAGGCUACUCUUCAUCCUGAGCAAGGGAAUGUUGCUUCUAAUAGCGAAGAAAACCACCGAAGUCCAUGAAACACUGAGUGCGGCCGGCCAGUUGAUAGAGACCUAUAAUGGCACACCCCUACAGAAGGAUUCCCUCAAAGUCUUCUUCUUUGUUCUACAAGUCUGCCAUUACCUUAUGGCUGGUCAGGUUAAAACAGUAAAGCCAGUCCUUAAGAAUCUACAGCAGAUCAUUCAGACUAUCACACAGCUUCAUACUGAUGAAGAACCUGUCCCAGCAAAUGAACUGGAUUUGUUUCAGUGGCUGCCCAUUGAGCAUAUGUGCAUUUUAGUGUAUCUGGUUACCGUGAUGCACUCAAUGCAGGCAGGACACAUGGACAAAGCUCAGAAAUACACAGACAAAGCCCUCAUGCAGAUAGAGAAGUUAAAAAUGCUGGACUCCCACCCUCUCCUGUCAGCCUUCCAACUCAUGUUGCUGGAACACAUCAUCAUGUGUCGACUGAUCAUGGGCAACAAAACACUGGCCAUUCAGGAGAUUUUCCAGGCUUGUUCAGUUUGCCAACAGCAACCACGGCUCUUUACUACACAUGGAGCACAAAUUCAUACACUAUUAGGGCUAUAUGCAAUGUCAAUGAAUUGUAUGGAGGCAGCAGAGCUGCAAUUUAUUACAGCGAUUAAGAGUUCACAGGGCACAGAACUGGAGAUGUUUGUGAACCUGAACUUGGCCAUCGUGUAUCUCCGGACAAACCGUUUCCCAGAGUUCAUGACUAUUAUGGAUAAAGUGGAUCCAGAGAAAUGUCAAUCAUGCCCUCAAAGUUUACAAGCGUCUGCAUUUUAUGUCAGAGGCUUACAGACAUUUUUCCAGGCUCGAUACAAUGAAGCUAAGAGAUACCUUAGAGAAACAUUAAAGAUGGCUAACUCAGAGGACCUGAACAGAUUGACAUCCUGUUCUCUGGUGCUCCUUGGACAUAUCUUUUUAUCCCUGGGAAACAAUGCAGAGGCAUUGAAUAUGGUCACGCCCGCUAUGCAGUUGGCAGGAAAAAUAUCAGAUGUCCAUGUUCAAUUGUGGGCAUCUUCCCUCCUUAAAGAUCUGUAUGGCCUGUGUGGUGACACAGCCAAUGAACAGGAAGGCUACAGGAUGCACAACACAUUCACGCAGUCCCUGCUGAAAGAUCUCCUCCAGUCCUCACAGCUUCCAGAACACGGACUCAUUCAUUGGACUGAGGGACCUUGUCCGUUUCACUUGAACACUACACCACCUGCGAACAAUGUGAUGUGAACAUCUAAACACGAGUUCUUAACUAUGAACAACUGCAUCAUCCAAAACCAAGGACUUGUCUAGCUUAUACUUAAACUCGUUUGACCAACUUAAUCACUUUCCUGGAUGUCUUGAGUAAUUUAUUCCUUAUGCUGAUUGGCUUCUUCACACUUUCUUGGAGGAAACCUCAUCAAAAAUUAGCAUGUUUUUAUGAAAUUAAUCUGAAUGAAAUCAAAAACAAUUCAUUUACUAAUAAUGUGGCCCAUGGUCAGCAAAUGUAUGCUAUGAAGAGCAAUGGAACAACCAACAAUAGUUUUUGUUGCAUCAUUCUCAUGAAUUAUUAGUUUUCUUUGAUUUCCAAAACAUUUCUGUUUUAAGCAAUUAAAUGAUAUAGAGUUUAUGGUAUGUGAAAAUUGCAGUUAUUUUAUGAAUCCUCGUGUAAUUUUAUCGUUAUACUGUUUGGAAUGAUAAAUCAAGCUUCAAUUGCUAACACUUUAUAAACUGUUACUUAGAAAGUGUUGUGUAUCUAAUUUAUCAGUAAAUCAUGUACGUAUGUUGUAAUGUUAUGUCUUAUAGUUGUAUUUUAUGUAAGAACAAACCAUUUCCAUUUUAUAAAGCUCAUUCAAUUAUAA